CUCUUCGGAGCAUUUUACGAGGUGCUGCAUGGUUGUCGUCAGCUCGUGCCGUGAGGUGUCGGGUUAAGUCCCAUAACGAGCGCAACCCCUACCUUUAGUUGCCAUCAGGUUAAGCUGGGGACUCUAAAGGAACUGCCUACGCAAGUAGUGAGGAAGCGGGGAUGACGUCAAAUCAGCACGGCCCUUACGUCCAGGGCUACACACGUGCUACAAUGGCCGAUACAGAGGGCAGCUACCUGGUGACAGGAUGCAAAUCUCCAAAGUCGGUCUCAGUUCGGAUCGGAGUCUGCAACCCGACUCCGUGAAGUUGGAUUCGCUAGUAAUCGCGCAUCAGCCAUGGCGCGGUGAAUACGUUCCCGGGCCUU
rnacentral:rRNA from 1 species